UACGUAGGCAGCGAGCGUUGCUCGGAGUUACUGGGCGUAAAGGGUGCGCAGGCGGUGGAGCAAGUCUGUUGUGAAAUCUCCCCGGCUUAACCGGGAGGGUGCGGCGGAAACUGUUCUGCUGGAGUGAGGGAGAGGCAAGCGGAAUUCCUGGUGUAGCGGUGAAAUGCGUAGAUAUCAGGAGGAACACCCGUGGUGCAGACGGCUUGCUGGACCUCCACUGACGCUGAGGCACGAAAGCGUGGGGAGCAAACGGG
rnacentral:rRNA from 1 species